CACGUAGGCACCAAGCGUUGUCCGGAUUUAUUGGGCGUAAAGAGCUCGUAGGCGGUUCGGUAAGUCGGGUGUGAAACUUUGGGCUCAACCCAAAGCGUGCACUCGAUACUGCCGUGACUAGAGUUCGGUAGGGGAGCGGGGAAGUUCCUAGUGUAGCGGUGAAAUGCGCAGAUAUUGGAGGAACACCGGUGGCGAAGGCGCCGCUCUGGGCCGAAACUGACGCUGAGGAGCGAAAGCGUGGGUAGCAACAGG
rnacentral:rRNA from 1 species